rnacentral:rRNA from 1 species
UUGGAGGGCAAGUCUGGUGCCAGCAGCCGCGGUAAUUCCAGCUCCAAUAGCGUAUAUUAAAGUUGUUGCAGUUAAAAAGCUCGUAGUUGAAUUUCGGGGUUAGUAGGUUGGUCAUGCCACUGGUAUGUACUGGUCUCACUGAUUCCUCCUUCCUGAUGAGCCGUAAUGCCAUUAAUUUGGUGUUGCGAGGAAUCUGGACUGUUACUUUGAAAAAAUUAGAGUGUUUAAAGCAAGCUAACGCUUGAAUACAUUAGCAUGGAAUAAUGAAAUAGGACGUUCGAUCCUAUUUUGUUGGUUUCUAGGAUUGACGUAAUGAUUAAUAGGGAUAGUUGGGGGCAUUAGUAUUCAAUUGUCAGAGGUGAAAUUCUUGGAUUUAUUGAAGACUAACUACUGCGAAAGCAUUUGCCAAGGAUGUUUUCAUUAAUCAAGAACGAAAGUUAGGGGAUCGAAGACGAUCAGAUACCGUCGUAGUCUUAACCAUAAACUAUGCCGACUAGGGAUCGGAUGAUGUUAUUUUUAAUGACUCAUUCGGCGCCUUACGGGAAA